UAUCGGCAGUUUGGAUGCCCGCAGGAAGCGCGCUCGGGAAGAGCGGAUGCGAAUGGAUUGCGCCAUGGACGAUUUUCCUUUCAGGAUGAAGGACGUAGUGGCAGGGAAUGCGGUUAUAGCAGAAGGAAAAACCGGGAUGUUGCAUGUACGCAAGGAGCGCGUAACAGGAAUACCCUUCGCAAGAAGGUGCGAAAUAGGCGGCAGGUUUAACCUGCCGCCUUUUUUCUUU
rnacentral:sRNA from 17 species